rnacentral:lncRNA from 1 species
AUGGAGUUGGGGCUGAGGUGGGUUUUCCUUGCUGCUAUUUUAAAAGGUGUCCAGUGUGAGAUGCAGCUGGUAGAGUCUGGAGCAAACUUGACAAAGCCUGGGUGUCCCAGAGACUCUCCUGUGCAGCCUCUGGAUUCACCUUCAGUAGCCAUAGCACGCACUGGGUCCCCCAGGCUCCAGGGAAGGGUCUGCAGUGGGUCCCAGUUAUUAGUGGUAGUGGUAGUACCAUGUACUACGCAGACUCUGUGAAGGGCCGAUUCACCAUUUCCAGAGACAAUACGAAAAACUCACUGUAUCUGCAAAUGAACAGACUGAGGGCAGAGGAUGCAGCUGCAUAUGACUCUGUG